AACCCAUUCUCUCUUCCUCUCCCGAGCUCACUCGAAGCCCUCCCCUCCUUCUUCUUCAUCACCUUCGGCCUCGCCUUUCUGACUCCGGCUCCAGAAACUGCCUGGAUCGGGUUCCGAUUUCGGGCUCGAACGAUUUUGAUGGGGAAGUGAUUUCCUUUUGGCGGCUAAAAAUUGAAUCUGGACUUCCCAAACACACUGAAAUUCUAGUGCAAACGCUCAUUCUCAUCGGCUUUCGUAGCUUCAUCUGCUAAACCCAUCUUCUCUCUCGCUCGCUUGCUCUCUCGCUCGUAGCUUUGGGAUUCCGGCGACGCCGUCGACGGCCGUGGGGAUUUGUAAUGGAGGAGAGAGAGAGGAGUAUGGGUACUCUGUUUAAACCCAUUUUCUCUCUCUUUCUCUCUCUUGUAGCUUUGGGAUUCCGGCGACGGCGGCUAUGGAGGAUCGGUAUUCUGCUUCCAUGGGUAUCCGGGGAAUAGCAAGCAGGCGUUGUUUGGUAUAUUUGAUGGGCAUAGAGGUGCAAUCGCUACUGAGUUGGCCGACUUGAGUAAGUACAUCAUAGAUGAAGUGGUGAGAAGAGACUAGGAUGAAACAGAGACGGUUACCAGAAGACUGAUUUGGAUUUUUUGAAUGAGGAAUCACGAGGCAGCUCAUGCUGUGUAACUGGGUUGAUUAGAAGGGGCAACCACUUUGUGUCUAAUGCUAGAGAUUGUCAAGCUGUUCUUUGUAGAGCCGGCAUUGAAGAGGCUCGUAGAUCUGAUCAUAGGCUUUGCAGGGAAGAUGGAAAGGAACGGAUUAAGUCUCUCACAACAUUCUAUUCAUUCUUUACGUGUAAAAAGAUACUGCGUGGCAGAUUUAUAUGAAAUUAAGUUCUUUUACCUUAGCCACUUCCAUUCUGAAAUGGCUUGAGUUACCAAACUCUGCUUGUGUUAGAAGCUUGUGAGAUUUCUAUCCAUUUCAUGAAGGCUAAGAUUAAUGAUCAAACUGUUGUAUCAGCAUGUAUAUUAUGUUUUAUUUCUAUGUA